ensembl:lncRNA
CUAAGUUUUAUUGCUAGUGGGAAUUGCAUAUUUUUAAGAACAGUGUUAUAUGCAGUUGAAGAAGUUGAAGUAAAAGUCGCUCAGUCAUGUCCGACUCUUUGCAACUCCAUGGGCUAUACAGUCCAUGGAAUUCUCCAGGCCAGAAUACUGCAUUGAGAAGUCGUGUCCAACACUUGCAACCCCGUGGACUGUAGCCUGCCAGCCUCCUCUGUCCGUGGGAUUCUUCAGGGAAGAAGGCUGGAGUGGGUGGCCAUUUCCUUCUCCAGGGGAUCUUUCCAACUCAGGAAUUGAACCCAAGUCUCCUGCAUUGCAGGCAGAUUCUUUACCGACUGAACUAUGAGGGAAGCCCUUUUUACCUAUGUGCCUUUAAAAAUUUUUUAGUCAUAGCUACUGCCGUUGAACAUGUUGGCAUACGGAUUUGGUGGCAUGCACUUAAUGUUUUACAUUGAAAAUAUAAACAGGCUUUUAAAGAAAACUCCAAAUGUUUUUUUAUACUAGAUGCUACCCCUGUUUAUGUGCUUAUUUCCAAUGUUUAUUUCUUCAUAAAUAAUUUUGUAGUGUGUUGAAUAACAACCGUUGUAGCCUGGCUACAAAGUCAUUGUUUCUGUAGAUGAUACGAGCUAGAUGAUUUAGUUUGUAUAAAAGAGGACAAAACCUAAAUAUAUGUGUAUUAAAAAUUAUCUCUGACAUUAAAAUAGGUUCAAUAGCCGAAGUGUAGCAAUUAUUAUAGCCAUAUUGAGUCAUGGCCUGGCCUAUCCAACUGAUUUCAAAAUCAGUUAAUACACAUGACCUGGGGAGCAUCCAUGUCAGGUUUACUACAGUCAGAGAAUGGAGAUUUCUUACAAUUGGACUUCUGGAAAUCUUCCUUUUUUAAGGGUCUUAUAU